rnacentral:rRNA from 1 species
UUUUCCUACGGGGGGCAGCAGUGGGGGAUAUUGCACAAUGGGGGAAACCCUGAUGCAGCGACGCCGCGUGUAGGAAGACGGUCCUCUGGAUUGUAAACUACUGUCCCCAGGGACGAAGAUGACGGUACCUGGGGAGGAAGCUCCGGCUAACUACGCGCCAGCAGCCGCGGUAAUACGUAGGGAGCGAGCGUUGUCCGGAAUUACUGGGUGUAAAGGGAGCGUAGGCGGGGAUGCAAGUUGGGUGGUAAAUCUACCGGCUCAACUGGUAGUCGCACUCAAAACUGCAGCUCUUGAGU